CCUACGGGAGGCAGCAGUGGGGAAUAUUGCACAAUGGGCGCAAGCCUGAUGCAACCAUGCCGCGUGUGUGAAGAAGGCCUUCGGGUUGUAAAGCACUUUCAGCGGGGAGGAAGGCGGUGAGGUUAAUAACCUCAUCGAUUGACGUUACCCGCAGAAGAAGCACCGGCUAACUUCGUGCCAGCAGCCGCGGUAAUACGGAGGGUGCAAGCGUUAAUCGGAAUUACUGGGCGUAAAGCGCACGCAGGCGGUCUGUCAAGUCGGAUGUGAAAUCCCCGGGCUCAACCUGGGAACUGCAUUCGAAACUGGCAGGCUAGAGUCUUGUAGAGGGGGGUAGAAUUCCAGGUGUAGCGGUGAAAUGCGUAGAGAUCUGGAGGAAUACCGGUGGCGAAGGCGGCCCCCUGGACAAAGACUGACGCUCAGGUGCGAAAGCGUGGGGAGCAAACAGGAUUAGAUACCCCUGUAGUC
rnacentral:rRNA from 1 species